ensembl:lncRNA
CACCCGGCUCCCCCGGGGCUCCUGCCCUGUGCCCGGUGUGCCUGGGGCCAGCAGGGUGCCUGUGGGGCCAGCAGACACUGGGCUCUGGGGCUGAGCACGGGGUUCUGUCACUGCAGAAGGGUACGUUUGCUGUCACAGGGAGUCAACAGAGCCAGGCGCCCGGGAGCCUUGUGCUGACAUGCCAAGGUGCUGCUGGUGGUUGCUGCUUCCAGGGGCUGCCCCUCCCAUUAGGAACACCCCAGGAGGCAUCUGCUCCUCCACUGGAUGCAGCCCAAGUGCUCCAGAGGUUGGAUCUGUCUCCUUUCUGUCGCAUAUGCUCCCAUCAGCUUCUCUCCUGUGUUUAUCCUGAAUUUUGGACAGAGUUAAUUACCUUGCUAGGAUGCUGAGCUCCAGCCACUGCCCACACCAGAUGUUCUCUUGGUGCCAACCAUCGUCUUGCAGGAAGAAAUGUCUGCAUUCUGUCAGUGCAACAGCUAUCCACCUUUCCAACUCUCCUUUCCCACUGCAAGCUCUUGGAUGGAGACAAAAAGUUUCCAGGCCCAGCCCCUUUGUGCUGCCUGUGUGUAGGACCAGGAUACAGCUGCCUCUCAGUUCUGCAUGGAGACUCCCAGCUAUUCCCAGAGGACUGGCUGAAUUUCCCAGGCCAUGUGCUGGAGCAGAUGCAAGCUGCUUGCACAGAAAGGAGCGGAGCUGGCUGGAUUUGGAUCUUCAUUUGGAUCUUUGCUCCACAGGGAGCAAAGGCACUGGUUGCUGCCAAUGGCUGUCAACGAGGAGCACUUCAUGCAAUUCCCAUCUGCUGCCCCGCUAA